GAGCAAGAGUCUGGCAGGUAUAAGGAGGCAUUUCUUCCUUUUUAGUAACCUUUUGACCAGCAUCUCCUCCUUUAUAACCCUGUAGUCCACUGAAUAUACUAUGGUUGUGGCCAUUACUAAAAGUAGAGCCCUCGAGAUCAAGAAUUCUACUUAAUUGCUUUAUGCUCUGUUUGGGAAAAUUUCCAUUACUAAUAGAAUUUUCUGGAGAUAUACUUCCAGCAUCAUAAUCUGUCUCCAAAUCUGAAAGAAAAGGAAAAAUCAAGAAUACUUUAUUUUCCAGUAAAACACACACACAAUUUUCUUGUAACAUAAAAUCCAUUAAAUACAUGGCUAGACUCUAAAGUAAUAUCUGAGAAGCUGAACAAGAGUAAGGAGAGCAGCAGUAAGGAAAGUUUAUGUAAGACAAUACACUUUACAGUAGAGCAGGUUGGAAAUGGGAAGACAUGUCCAAUCCAAACAAAUGGAUCUAAGGACCAAGCUGGUAUAGUCAUUUCAAUAUCUAACAAAAUAGAGUUCAAACUAACACUACCCAAGAGAUAGGAAAGGAUCUUAUCAAAGGAACAAUCCAGCAAAAUCUAUGCACCAAACAUCCAACAUCCAAUUUAGUAAAAAAAAAAAAAAAAAAAAAAAAAAAAAAAAUUACAGCUUAAAUCACAUACUUAAAAUCACAUAUUGUAGCAAGAGACUGCAAUACCCAACUCCCACCAAUAGACAGGUCAUCCAGACAAAAAUUAAACAGGGAAAUGCUGGCACUAACUGAUAUUAUAAACCAAAUUGACCAUAUAGGUAUUUACACAAAAAACUAUACCUUCUUCUCAGCACAUCAUCAAACUUUCUCCAAAAUUGAGCACAUACAUGGGCACAAAACAAUUCUCAACAAAUACAAGAAAAUUCAAAUAACACCUUGAAUGCUAACUAACCACCAUGGAUAUUAGUAACAACAGAAAAAAAUGAAAGCUUACAAAUUGAACCAUACUACUCAAUGAAAAUUGGGUCAAGACAGAGAUUGAGAGAUAUUAAAGACUUCCUAGGAUGAAUGAAAAUGAAGGCACAAAAUAUCUAAACUUAGAGAAACUAUGAAGGUGAUUCUAAGAGGUAAAUUCAUAAUGGUAUGUACCUACAUUUAAGAAAAAUUGAGAGAUCUCACUCUAAUAACACAAGCUCUUGGUUUUGUUUGUUCUUUAUAUUGUUCUCUGUUUCUAAUUGAUUUCAGCCCUGAGUGAAGUGCAAGUUUCUGGUUGGGUCAUGUGAUACAGAUGCAGGUGGUGUCUUACUGUGGCAGACUCACAUUGUGUUUUGCUGAGGCAAGACCUGUGGGAGGACAGGUGAUGUUUGGAGAGAGUAUAAAUAGGACUCAACAGACAAUGUAGUCACCCUUGAAUAGCUAGCCUUGCAAUGCUUUGUUGGUAGUGCAUCUUCACUUCAUUGAGAGAAGCACAACAGUGAACUUUUCCUGGUGUCCCAGCUAGUUCUGGUCACUCCCACUGAUUUACAGCAAUUCAGCGGAGGCCUGGCUGUUUCUGUUGGAUCAUGUCAUUACUGCCAAUUCAUGUUUGGUAUCCUGACCCUACUGAACUGGACUGCUGGUAUCCUGACAAACCAUCGGAAAGAACUACUUCUAAACAGAUCCACAUCCCCUUGUCCUAUUUACCAUCUUUUUUCCCAUACCUUUAGAAGGUGGGCUAGAAGGGAGGGUCAAUGCGUUUGAGAACCCUUAUUAAAAGUAGGUUUUGAAAACUCUAAGCUACACCUGAGUUUGAUUAUUUCCUGCUGUCUACUCCUCUUGGGUGUGUUUGCUUUUUUAUAGUGUCCCUUAAGUUUGAGUAUGUUGUGCCCUCAUUUUCAUUAAAUUCUAGAAAGUUUUUAAUUUCUCUCUUUAUUUCUUCCCUUAGCCAGCAAUCAUUUAGUAGAGAGUUGUUCAGUUUCCAUGAGUUUAUAGGCUUUCUGUUGUUUCUGUUGUUGAAUUCCAGCUUUAAUCCAUGGUGAUCUGAUAAGAUGCAAGGGGUUAUUUCAAUUUUGUAUAGUUUUGUUAAGGCUUGCUUUGUGUUCAGUUAUAUAGUUCAAUUUUAUAGGAGGUUCCCCGAGGUGCUGAGAAGGUAUAUUUUUCUGUGUUUGAGUGAAAUGUUCUAUAGACUUCUGUUAGGUCCAUUUGAAUCAUAACCUCUGUUAGUUUCAUUAUUUUUCUAAUGUUUAGUUUCUGUCUCAAGGAUCUCUCCAUUGGUGAAAGUGGGGUGUUGAAGUCUCCCACUAUGGGAUCUUCAAUGUAUGAUUUAAGCUUUUAGUAAUGUUUCUUUUACAAAUGUUGGUGCCCCUUGCAUUUGGGGCACAGAUGUUCAGAAUUCAAAUAUCAGCUUGGUGUAUUUUUCCUUUGAUGAGUAUGAAGUGUCCUUCCCAAUCUCUUUUGAUUACUUUUGGUUGAAAGUCUAUUUUAUUAGAUAUUAGAAAUGGUUACUUCAGUUUGUUUCUUAGGUUCAUUUGCUUGCGAAACUUUUUCCCAGUAUUUUACUCUAAGAUAAUGUCUAUCUUUGUUGCUGAGAUAUGUUUCUGUUAUACAGCAGAAUGAUGGGUUCUGUUUAAGCAUCCAUUCUGUUAGCCUGUGCCUUUUUAUUGGGGAAUUGAGUCCAUUGAUGUUGAGAGAUAUUGAUCAAUGAUUGCUACUUCCUGUAAUUUUGAUGUUGGUAGUGGUUGUGUGUGUGUCUGUGUGUGUAUUUCUCUUCUAUUGGCUGUAAUGGGGUGAAAGUAUUUGUGUUUUCUUGAGUGUAGUUAGCCUCACUGGGUUGGAGUUUUUCUUCUAGUAUCCUCUGUAGGGCUGGGUUAGCGUAAUGAUGUUGUUUAAAUUUGGUUUUGUCAUGGAAUAUCUUGGUUUAUCAAUCUAUAGUGAUUGAAAGUUUUGCUGGGUAUAGUAGUCUGAGUUGACAUUUGUGGUCACUUUAGGGUCUGCGAGACAUCUGUCCAGGCCCUUCUAGCUUUUAGAGUCUCAGUGGAGAAAUCAGGUAUAGUUCUGAUAGGUCUGCCUUUAUAUAUUACUUGUCCUUUCCCCUUACACCUUUUAAUAUUCUUUCUUUGCUCUGCAUAUUUAGUGUUUUCAUUAUUAUGUGGCAGGAGGAUUUUAUUUCUAGUCCAAUUUUUCUUUAUGUUUUUUGUAAGCUUCUUGUACAUUUAGAGGCAUCUUUUUUUUUAAGUUAGGGAAAUUUUAAUUAUGAUUUUGUUGGAGAUGUUUUCUGGGACUUUCAGCUCUCAUUCUGACAACUUAACCAGAACAAAAAGCUCUAGAGC
rnacentral:lncRNA from 1 species